AUUGAACGCUGGCGGCAUGCCUUACACAUGCAAGUCGAACGGCAGCGCGGGCUUCGGCCUCGCGUCCAGUGGCGAACGGGUGAGUAAUACAUCGGAACGUGCCCAGCUGUGGGGGAUAGCUCGGCGAAAGCCGGAUUAAUACCGUAUACGACCUGAGGGUGAAAGCGGGGGAUCUUCGGACCUCGCGAUAUUGCAGCAGCCGAUGGCAGAUUAGCUAGUUGGUGGGGUAAAGGCCUACCAAGGCGACGAUCUGUAGCUGGUCUGAGAGGACGACCAGCCACACUGGGACUGAGACACGGCCCAGACUCCUACGGGAGGCAGCAGUGGGGAAUUUUGGACAAUGGGCGAAAGCCUGAUCCAGCAAUGCCGCGUGUGUGAUGAAGGCCUUCGGGUUGUAAAGCACUUUUGGCGGGAACGAAAAGGACUGUGCCAAUACCACGCUUCGAUGACGGUACCCGAAGAAUAAGCACCGGCUAACUACGUG
rnacentral:rRNA from 1 species